rnacentral:rRNA from 1 species
GAUGAACGCUAGCUACAGGCUUAACACAUGCAAGUCGAGGGGCAGCGGGUUGAAAGCUUGCUUUCAAUGCCGGCGACCGGCGCACGGGUGCGUAACGCGUAUCAAACCUGCCUCAUACUCGGGGAUAGCCUUGCGAAAGUAAGAUUAAUACCCGAUGUUAUUAGUUCAUCGCAUGGUGGGCUAAUCAAAGAUUUAUCGGUAUGAGAUGGUGAUGCGUCCGAUUAGGUAGUAGGCGGGGUAACGGCCCACCUAGCCUUCGAUCGGUAGGGGUUCUGAGAGGAAGGUCCCCCACACUGGAACUGAGACACGGUCCAGACUCCUACGGGAGGCAGCAGUGAGGAAUAUUGGUCAAUGGACGAAAGUCUGAACCAGCCAAGUAGCGUGCAGGAUGACGGCCCUCCGGGUUGUAAACUGCUUUUAGUUGGGAAUAAAAAAAGGGACGUGUCCCUUCUUGUAUGUACCUUCAGAAAAAAGGACCGGCUAAUUCCGUGCCAGCAGCCGCGGUAAUACGGAAGGUCCAGGCGUUAUCCGGAUUUAUUGGGUUUAAAGGGAGCGUAGGCGGAUUGUUAAGUCAGCGGUUAAAGGGUGUGGCUCAACCAUACAUUGCCGUUGAAACUGGCGAUCUUGAGUGCAGACAGGGAUGCCGGAAUUCGUGGUGUAGCGGUGAAAUGCUUAGAUAUCACGAAGAACUCCGAUCGCGAAGGCAGGUGUCCGGGCUGCAACUGACGCUGAGGCUCGAAAGUGUGGGUAUCAAACAGG